GCCGGGCUGGCUCAGUGGGAGGAGCGUGCGACUUUUGAUCUCAGGGUCAUGGGUUCAAGCCCCAUGUUGGGUG
rnacentral:tRNA from 1 species